CGGAUUCUUAGAGCGGACUCAGAGCUCCACGGUUCCCGACGCGCUUAGCACAUGCGCGACAGCUCAGCUCUCUCUUCUUCCACUUCCACUAGCCUCCACCGUCCGGGCAGCCGCCGCCACCGCCGCCGAAGAGUCAGGAAGUUCAAGAUGGCCGCCACGGAGGCUCAGUCUCUGCGGGAACAGCCAGAGAUGGAAGAUGCUGAUAAUUCCGAAAAAAGUGUAAAUGAAGAGAAUGGAGAAGUAUCAGAAGACCAAUCUCAAAAUAAGCACAGUCGUCACAAAAAAAAGAAGCAUAAACACAGAAGUAAACAUAAGAAACAUAAACAUUCCUCGGAAGAAGACAAGGAUAAAAAACAUAAACAUAAGCAUAAACAUAAGAAACACAAAAGAAAAGAGGUUAUUGAUGCUUCUGACAAAGAAGGUAUGUCUCCAGCAAAAAGAACUAAACUUGAUGAUUUAGCUUUGCUGGAAGACUUGGAAAAACAGAGAGCCUUGAUUAAAGCUGAACUUGACAAUGAGUUAAUGGAAGGAAAGGUCCAGUCGGGGAUGGGGCUCAUAUUACAAGGUUAUGAAUCUGGCUCUGAAGAAGAGGGGGAAAUUCAUGAAAAGGCAAGAAAUGGAAAUAGGUCUAGUACUAGAUCUUCAACUAUAAAGGGGAAACUUGAACUUAUGGACAAUAAAAAUAGUACAAAAAAGCGAAGUAAAAGCAGAUCCAAAGAACGGACUAGACAUAGGUCUGACAAAAAGAAAGGUAAGGGAGGUGUUGAAAUAGCUAAAGAAAAGACAGCUAGGAGCAAAUCAAAGGAGAGGAAAAAGUCCAAAAGUCCAUCCAAAAGAAGUAAGUCUCAAGAUCAAGCAAGAAAAUCAAAAUCUCCUACCCUUAGAAGGCGAUCUCAAGAGAAAAUUGGGAAAGCCAGAUCUCCUGCUGAUGACAAGGUUAAAAUUGAAGAUAAAAGUAAGUCAAAAGACAGAAAAAAAUCCCCAGUUGUAAAUGAGAGUAGAAAUCGUGAUCGAGGCAAAAAAUCCAGAUCCCCAGUUGACUUAAGAGGUAAAUCCAAAGACAGAAGGUCACGGUCCAAAGAGAGAAAAUCAAAAAGGUCUGAAACCGAUAAAGAAAAGAAGCCAAUUAAAUCUCCUUCUAAAGAUGCUUCUUCUGGGAAAGAAAAUAGGUCACCCAGUAGAAGGCCUGGUCGUAGUCCUAAAAGAAGGAGCUUGUCUCCAAAACAACGGGAUAAAUCAAGAAGAAGUAGAUCUCCACUUUUAAAUGAUAGGAGGUCUAAACAGAGCAAAUCGCCUUCUCGAACUCUGUCUCCUGGUAGAAGAGCCAAGAGCCGAUCUUUGGAAAGAAAACGAAGAGAACCGGAAAGGAGACGACUUUCUUCCCCACGAACACGACCUCGAGAUGAUAUCCUCAGUAGGCGUGAGAGAUCAAAAGAUGCCAGUCCCAUCAGCCGGUGGUCUCCAACCCGAAGAAGAGCAAGUAGAUCUCCCAUUAGAAGGAGAUCUCGCUCCCCACUCAGGCGUAGCAGGUCUCCCAGAAGAAGAAGCAGGUCUCCUCGGAGAAGGGACAGAGGUCGGAGGAGCAGAUCACGCAUGAGAAGGCGGUCUCGAUCACGGGGUGGUCGUAGACGUAGGAGCAGAAGCAAAGUAAAAGAAGAUAAAUUUAAAGGAAGUCUUUCUGAAGGAAUGAAAGUUGAGCAAGAAUCUUCUUCUGAAGAUAACCUUGAAGACUUUGACGUAGAGGAAGAAGAUGAAGAGGCAUUAAUAGAACAGAGAAGAAUACAAAGGCAAGCAAUUGUCCAGAAAUAUAAAUAUCUGGCUGAAGAUAGCAAUAUGUCUGUGCCAUCUGAACCCAGCAGCCCCCAGAGCAGUACUCGUACACGGUCACCUUCUCCAGACGACAUUCUGGAAAGGGUAGCUGCUGAUGUUAAAGAGUAUGAACGAGAAAAUGUUGAUACAUUUGAGGCCUCAGUAAAAGCCAAGCAUAAUCUAAUGACAGUUGAACAAAAUAAUGGGUCUUCUCAGAAGAAGCUUUUGGCACCUGAUAUGUUUACAGAAUCUGAUGAUAUGUUUGCUGCAUACUUUGAUAGUGCUCGUCUUCGGGCUGCUGGCAUUGGAAAAGAUUUCAAAGAGAAUCCUAACCUCAGGGAUAACUGGACUGAUGCAGAAGGCUAUUAUCGUGUGAACAUAGGUGAAGUACUAGAUAAGCGCUACAAUGUGUAUGGCUACACUGGUCAAGGUGUGUUCAGUAACGUUGUACGAGCCAGAGAUAAUGCAAGAGCCAACCAAGAAGUGGCUGUAAAGAUCAUCAGAAACAAUGAGCUCAUGCAAAAAACUGGUUUAAAAGAACUAGAAUUCUUGAAAAAACUUAAUGAUGCUGAUCCUGAUGACAAAUUUCAUUGUUUACGGCUCUUCAGACACUUUUAUCACAAACAGCAUCUCUGUCUUGUAUUUGAGCCUCUCAGUAUGAAUUUACGAGAGGUGUUGAAAAAAUAUGGUAAAGAUGUUGGUCUUCAUAUUAAAGCUGUAAGAUCCUAUAGUCAGCAGUUGUUCUUGGCAUUGAAACUCCUUAAACGAUGCAAUAUUCUACAUGCAGAUAUCAAGCCAGAUAAUAUCCUGGUUAAUGAAUCAAAAACUAUUUUAAAGCUCUGUGAUUUUGGGUCGGCUUCACAUGUUGCGGAUAAUGACAUAACUCCUUAUCUUGUCAGUAGAUUUUAUCGUGCUCCUGAAAUCAUUAUAGGUAAAAGCUAUGACUAUGGUAUAGAUAUGUGGUCGGUAGGUUGCACCUUAUAUGAACUCUAUACCGGAAAAAUUUUAUUUCCUGGCAAAACCAAUAACCAUAUGUUGAAGCUCGCCAUGGAUCUCAAAGGAAAGAUGCCAAAUAAGAUGAUUCGGAAAGGCGUAUUCAAAGACCAACAUUUUGAUCAAAACCUUAACUUCAUGUACAUAGAAGUUGAUAAAGUAACAGAAAGGGAGAAAGUUACUGUCAUGAGCACCAUUAAUCCAACUAAGGACCUGUUGGCUGACUUGAUUGGGUGCCAGCGACUUCCUGAAGACCAACGUAAAAAAGUGCACCAACUAAAGGACUUGUUGGACCAGAUCCUAAUGUUGGACCCAGCCAAACGAAUUAGCAUCAACCAGGCCCUACAGCAUGCCUUUAUCCAGGAAAAAAUUUAAACGAGAUGAAGAAGCUCCAAUGGUUUGAGUAAUUAAAUACAAAGACUGAAGAAAUUUCACAGCAGUUUAUUAAUGUAUAUAAACUUAUAAAUAUUUCUCCAGCAAAUUUGAGGAAGCAUGAUAUAUUUGAAUUAACACCAAGGGUGAUAUUCUUUUAGAAAUGUUAGUUAAUCUGUUUUGUGUCUUAUGUGAAAUUUCACUGUAGAAGUUGUUUUAACUGCCAAGACUGCACAAAAUUACAGUGCUAAUGUAUAUGGUUGCAGUUCACAUAAAAGACAAAAGCAUCUGUUAUAAAAUAAGUAGUAAUACUGGGUGGUUGAUUUAUUUUUAGCAGACUUGGCUUCAUUUUGGUCUUCAGGUAAAAUGGCCAGCAUAAAUGCUGUUUAUAUUCACAUUUUCCUAGGUGUGUGUGUGCAGGCCACAGCAGCAUGCCCUUGGUGUAGUCAUUGCCGAAGGGGUCUGUUCCUUCUUGAGCCUGCCUGCAGGGACGGUCUCCUCUUUUAAGCAGGUUGUGUACAACAUUCAGUACACUGAAGGUAAGCUAAACCAUCAACAUCACUGGUGUUUUAAGAUGUUAUUUUAUUGGAACAAUUGACAAAUGAGGAUAUUAGCUUUGUGGCAGAAUUCCCUGCAUGUGUGAUAACUGAUCUUGUUUUAUUUUUUGGCAUUGCAACUGUGGCAUAGUUACAAUUUCUGUUCUAUUCAUCACAUUUAAAAUUUAAAGAGUAUGCGCUUGAUGGAUAGAGCCCCUUCAGUGUACUGUUUCUUAAUUAACUUUAAUUUUUUAAAAUCAACUUGCUAUAGACUUUAUACAUUUUGUUAAAUACAGUUAUUAGUGACAUAGAAACAAUGCGUAGUUUUCAUUUACUAAAUUACAAAUGUUGAGGCAUAAUUGAAAGUCCUCAUAUUUAAAAGUUAGACAACAUAAUGAAAUUUUUAACUAUUUGUAUGUCAUUUUGAAAGUGUACUGGUUUAUGGUAAAAGUGUUUUUUGUUUGUUCAUUGUUUUCAUUAUUUGUGAUCAUGUUGUCUUUCAAUACAGGCAUAAACCUUCCACUCUUGAACAAAGCAGCUGCUUUUUAAAAGCGAGAAAAAAGGAAAACGGGGCACAGGCCAUUCAACGCCUUCUCCAAGGGGUCUGAUUUGCUGAGACACCAGCUUCACCUUCUUAACAAGGCACUAAUUACAACAAGCAUGCACAUUUUGGUGCAUUCAAGAAUGGAAAAUCAGAAUAGCAGCAUUCUUCUGGUGCAGCUCAGUGGAAGAUGAUGACAACCAGAAGACAUGAACUAAGGGUAAGGGACUGUUCUUCUGAAGAAUCUUUCCAUUUAGUGAUCAAGAUAUGGAAGCUGAAAUCUGAAAAUACUCACUAUGUAUUCUGUUUGUGAUAUCAUUUGAAUUGUAACUUGCAUUUUAGCAACAAUAUUCCCAAUCAACUUAUUGGGAAAACAUAAUAAAAUAUGCCACUUGUUACUA